rnacentral:rRNA from 1 species
GACGAACGCUGGCGGCGUGCUUAACACAUGCAAGUCGAACGGUAAGGCCUCUUUCGGGGGGUACUCGAGUGGCGAACGGGUGAGUAACACGUGAGUAACCUGCCCUUGACUUUGGGAUAACUUCAGGAAACUGGGGCUAAUACCGGAUAGGAGCUCCUGCUGCAUGGUGGGGGUUGGAAAGUUUCGGCGGUUGGGGAUGGACUCGCGGCUUAUCAGCUUGUUGGUGGGGUAGUGGCUUACCAAGGCUUUGACGGGUAGCCGGCCUGAGAGGGUGACCGGCCACAUUGGGACUGAGAUACGGCCCAGACUCCUACGGGAGGCAGCAGUGGGGAAUAUUGCACAAUGGGUGGAAGCCUGAUGCAGCAACGCCGUGUGCGGGAUGACGGCCUUCGGGUUGUAAACCGCUUUCGCUCAUGACGAAGCUUUGUGUGACGGUAGUGGGUAAAGAAGCACCGGCUAACUACGUG